CCUACGGGGGGCAGCAGUGGGGAAUAUUGCACAAUGGGGGAAACCCUGAUGCAGCGACGCCGCGUGAGUGAAGAAGUAUUUCGGUAUGUAAAGCUCUAUCAGCAGGGGAGCAAAUGACGGUACCUGACUCAGAAGCCCCGGCUAACUACGUACCAGCAGCCGCGGUAAUACGUAGGGGGCAAGCGUUAUCCGGAUUUAUUGGGUGUAAAGGGAGCGUAGACGGCCAGACAAGUCAGAAGUGAAAGCCCAGGGCUCAACCCUGGGACUGCCUUUGAAACUGCCGGGCUGGAGUGUAGGUGGGGUAAGCGGAAUGCCUGGUGUAGCGGUGAAAUGCGUAGAUAUUAGGAGGAACACCAGUGGCGAAGGCGGCUUACCGGACUGUAACUGACGUUGAGGCUCGAAAGCGUGGGGAGCAAACAGGAUUAGAUACCCCUGUAGUC
rnacentral:rRNA from 1 species